rnacentral:lncRNA from 1 species
UAUUCUUCCAGUAUGUUCUUGUUGUCGAGUAUAAACUAGCUUAACUCUCUUUGUCAUAUACAGAUCUUAAAUAUAAGGAGAUGCAGAGAACUUCAGAAGUAUUGCAGAGACAGUGCGAUGAGAAAGAUGAGCUUAUAAAAUCUCUGAAGCUUAAAAUGCACAAAUUAAAUGAAACCUUACAAGAAGUGAAUGAAGUCUGCAGAAAAACAACUGAGGAAAACAACAGACUGACACACAUGGUAAUGCUCAAGGAACAAGAAAUGAGAAGUCUUCAGAACUGGGCUAAACGUGUCCUUGAGCUUGAAGCAACAGUGUCUCUUCUGCAAGAAGAACUAGAUGAGAGAAAAAAGCACUUGUAUUCAGAAGACCUUAAGGAGCAAAAACCCAAGAGAGGCUUGUUUGCUAAUCUAAAAUCUACAGUAGCAGGCACUUCUAAAACACCUGUUGGCAAAACCUUGGGGAAAUUUGAAGACUCUCCAACCAUGUCAAGAAAACAAGCUACUUUUGCACGUAAAGUAAAAGAGUAACUCUAAUCCCUGAUGCAUUAAUAUGUCUGUAUUGACAAGGCCCUUCAGCUGUAAUUUAAACUGAUGUUAGCAACAGUUGAAAUUUGGGUGAAGAAAAAAGGCUAGUAUAGACACAGCCUUACCAUCAAUGUAACUGGGAAGAUAAGCUAUUAAUAGGAAUGACGACAACUUUCCUUCUGUCAAAUGUCUUUUUUAGUAACUAAAGAAGACAUGUAAAUGUAAACAUAAAUUGGAAUUCUUGUGUAUCUGUCGGUGUGAGAUGUGAUCAUCUGCUGUGGAAACACAGCAGGUACAGAUUUCCACAUUGCAGGAGAAUAGGUGCCUUGUGUCAAGGUUAGUAGUACAUUCCUGCCUUUUACUUCCCUUGUUUCUUUUUACACUUGGUUCCAACACUCAAAAUGGCAUUUGCGCUAGACCAAACAGCUUGUUCACUUUCACUGUUUCAUUAGCUAGUAGAUAUUGUUUGUAGAGCUGGCUUCCUCACAGUUAAUCUUCUGCUUAAUUUGAAUUGAACUAGUAAUCUUACACUUGAUGUCAGUUUACUGUGGAAUUAAAAUGAGAGAUUUAGUACUAAGAUCUAAUAUAAUCUAGUCAGAUGAUGGAGUGGCAAGGAGCCACCGUUCAUUUUAAAUGCUUCUGUAAAUCCACAAUUGUCUUGGUUUGGAAAGGAAUGUCCAUCUGAAAAUCCCUCA